GUGUGUGUGUGUGUGUGUGUAUUUAGCAGACUGUGUACUCAGCAGUCUGUGUGUAUUCAGCAGUCUGCUAAAUACACAUACAGACAG